UACAGAGGUGCCAAGCGUUAGGCGGAAUCACUGGGCUUAAAGCGCGUGUAGGCGGGUCGUUAAGUGUCUUGUGAAAUCCCACGGCUCAACCGUGGAACUGCUGGGCAUACUGACGAUCUUGAGGCACUCAGGGGCUGUCGGAACAAAUGGUGGAGCGGUGAAAUGCGUAGAUAUCAUUUGGAACGCCAAUGGUGAAAACAGGUAGCUGGGAGUGUGCUGACGCUGAGACACGAAAGCCAGGGGAGCAAACGGG
rnacentral:rRNA from 1 species